rnacentral:rRNA from 1 species
CCUACGGGGGGCAGCAGUGGGGAAUAUUGGGCAAUGGGCGCAAGCCUGACCCAGCAACGCCGCGUGAAGGAAGAAGGCUUUCGGGUUGUAAACUUCUUUUGUCAGGGACGAAGCAAGUGACGGUACCUGACGAAUAAGCCACGGCUAACUACGUGCCAGCAGCCGCGGUAAUACGUAGGUGGAAAUCUUAAGCCGGAUUUAUUGGGUGUAAAGGGCGUGUAGGCGGGACUGCAAGUAAGAUGUGAAACCCACGGGCUCAACCUGUGGACUGCAUUUGAAACUGUAGUUCUUGAGUACUGGAGAGGCAGACGGAAGUCCUAGUGUAGCGGUGAAAUGCGUAGAUAUUAGGAGGAACACCAGUGGCGAAGGCGGUCUGCUGGACAGCAACUGACGCUGAGGCGCGAAAGCGUGGGGAGCAAACAGGAUUAGACACCCCAGUAGUC